AACGCGAAGAACCUUACCUGGGCUCGAAGCGCAGUGGAAGUCGGCUGAAAGGUCGGUGCCCGCAAGGGCCGCUGCGUAGGUGCUGCAUGGCUGUCGUCAGCUCGUGUCGUGAGAUGUUGGGUUAAGUCCCGCAACGAGCGCAACCCUUAUCUUUAGUUGCCAGGCUGAGUCGCAAGACAAGGCGGCACUCUAAAGAAACUGUCGGCCACAAGCCGAAGGAAGGUGGGGAUGACGUCAAGUCCUCAUGGCCUUUAUGUCCAGGGCUACACACGUGCUACAAUGGGCGGUACAAAGCGUUGCAAACCCGCGAGGGGGAGCCAAUCGCAAAAAACCGCUCUCAGUUCGGAUUGCAGUCUGCAACUCGACUGCAUGAAGCUGGAAUCGCUAGUAAUCGCGGAUCAGCACGCCGCGGUGAAUACGUUCCCGGGCCUUGUACACACCGUACGUC
rnacentral:rRNA from 1 species